CUCCCCCACAGCCUUCUCCCUCACCCUUGUGCCUUCCCUUGCCCUCUCACCCCUGCCCCCUCACUCAUCCCUCUCCAGCUGCCUGACUGUGCUCCUCACACACAGCAGGUGCACUUGGCAUGUGCUCAGUUGCACCGGCUGCGCUCCCCCUGCCCGGAUGCUCACCCCCAGCUGUCUGCUUGGCUCCCUGCCACCUCCUGGGAGCUCCGACUGCUCUGGGCGCACCCAGAAGGGCGGGCGGGCUCCGGACCGCAGCAGGAAAGCAAGUAUUGCAACCAAGUGGGUCAAAUGAUUUUUUUUGUUUCCCGGUUAUGUUUACACAAUACUGUCAGUUAUUAAGUGUGCAACGGCAUUGUGUCUAAAAAACAACGUAGGUGCCUUCAGUACAAAAAUACUCUGUCGCUAACAACAGCUGGCCGUCACCUGAGCUUCCGGCCUGCGCGGCCCUCUGCUGGGGGGGGGGGGGCUGCCCCGAUGCUGCCGGCCGCCCGCUGGGCCCCUGGCGGCUGUGGAAGCCGGGGCGUCGGUGGGAAGUUCUCAAACACGACGACAGCGUGCAGUGUGCUACGGCAGUGGGCCCGUUUUGUCCCGAGCGAGGUCUCCCGAGCGUGUGAUGCUGUUUGAUAGGAUGUUACUCUGGGCCACGGUAGAGUGGUCGUUGGGACCCCUUAGCAUCCUUGAGAAAGUUGUUUUUCAGGUGCCGCACAAGAGCGGGUGAGGCAAUGUCAUGAGGACAGAGCCCCGUGUCGCACGGCCGUAGAGGCGUCCCGGUGACCUCGUGGUCAGUCAGCGCCAGGUGGCACGAGGCGGCAGGCCCCUCGGCGCCGUUCAUCCGAAGCCGUUCAUCUCAAAGACCUGCUGCCUGGACCCCACUCCGCAGGGGCUCUGACUGAUGGGAGGAGGGGAGUGGACACGCAACGCUGGCAUUUAAACAUUUUUUAAAUGUUUA